GCCCUUGCAGAGCCGGGCGCAUCGCCCUAUGUAGAUAGUGUUCGCAGGCGGCAACGCUUGGGGACUAUGGGCAUAAACGCGCACGUAAUAAGCGGAUCGGACCCGGGGGCGGUACCCGGCGGCUCCACCAAUCACCCGUUCGUUGCGGGGGCAUGGGGCCGAAACAGGAUCGACGAACGUCCAAAGGUGUUUGCUUUGUCUCGGUGAGCUACCACCGUUAUCGGUGCAAAAGUACAGUUGCCAACGACAACCGUGCUCCGGUCGCUCUGGCUGCGUAAGCAGCUCGGGUAACCGAAACUUAAGCCCUUGCGCUUAGCCGCGUAAGGCGGGGUUCGCAGGUACCUGGCAACAGAAACCUGCACU
rnacentral:tmRNA from 2 species